UUGCUUUGGCAGCAGGUAUACUAAAAUUGGACCGAUACAGAAAAGAUUAACAUGGCCCCUGCACAUUCAUGACACGCAAAUUCAUGAGGCGUUCCAUAUUUUU
ensembl:snRNA U6 U6 spliceosomal RNA